rnacentral:rRNA from 1 species
GGCUUAGAGUUUGAUCAUGGCUCAGGAUGAACGCUGGCGGCGUGCCUAACACAUGCAAGUCGAACGAAGCACUUUAUUACGAUUUCUUCGGAAUGACGAUUGAGUGACUGAGUGGCGGACGGGUGAGUAACGCGUGGAUAACCUGCCCCAUACAGGGGGAUAACAGUUAGAAAUGACUGCUAAUACCGCAUAAGCGCACUGUAUCGCAUGAUACGGUGUGAAAAACUCCGGUGGUAUGGGAUGGAUCCGCGUCUGAUUAGCCAGUUGGCGGGGUAGAGGCCCACCAAAGCGACGAUCAGUAGCCGACCUGAGAGGGUGACCGGCCACAUUGGGACUGAGACACGGCCCAAACUCCUACGGGAGGCAGCAGGGGGGAAUAUUGCACAAUGGGGGAAACCCUGAUGCAGCGACGCCGCGUGAGCGAAGAAGUAUUUCGGUAUGUAAAGCUCUAUCAGCAGGGAAGAAGAAUGACGGUACCUGACUAAGAAGCUCCGGCUAAAUACGUGCCAGCAGCCGCGGUAAUACGUAUGGAGCAAGCGUUAUCCGGAUUUACUGGGUGUAAAGGGAGCGUAGGCGGUGCUAUAAGUCUGAUGUGAAAGCCCGGGGCUCAACCGCGGGACUGCAUUGGAAACUGUAGGACUGGAGUGUCGGAGGGGUAAGUG